CCCUGCCAACGGUCCAGCCUUGCUCCGCCAAGCCCGGGCAGCCCACUGGACCGCAGCACGGUCUCCAGAUCCGGGCAGGAGCCAGGGGCCUCCCGGGCAUGUCCUCCAGGUGCCCUGUUCCUAACUGGCUGAACACUGACCUGGGAGAGCCUCAGGGAAGGCCACCUCCUGCCCAGUGCGGCCACUCCCUGGCCCUCACCACCCCGCCGUCCACAGGUCCACCAGAGGAAUGAGGUGCAUGGGGACAGGGGCCUCAGAAGAUGGUGGGACAUGGAAGGAAAGCUGCAGAGGAAGGCGGAAAGGGCUGUCCCCUGACAGGGCAGAGGCCGUGUGUUCGCAGGAGGAGGGAUGUGCUGACCCAGCUCCCUGGAAAGGCUGGCAGCAGCGAGGGCCCCCCAGCAGCAGCUGCGGCCCUGUGACCGCACACCGGGCCUCUCUACGACCCUGGGGAGCUGGGGAACACACCUGCACCUUCUGGAGGAAGCAGUCACAACCCACGCUACCAAGCCUCGAGUAUGGAUAUAGAAGAGGUCUGAAGACUGACUCCUAGAGCACAUCCACAUUUGAAGAUCAGAGAGAAACCAUCCAAGGAGACUGAGAAGAUAGGAGAACUAACAAAACAGAGUCCUAGCAGCAAAAUAAAUAAAGUAUAUCAAGGAGGA
rnacentral:lncRNA from 1 species